GCCUCUUUCGCCCGUCCACUGCUCCACCCCAGCUAGAGAAGAACUUGAUACAACCUUGGGAUCUACAUGCCAGCCUGAUCCGAAGGACGUGACGGUCCACUCAUCUGAAUUAACAGAGGGAUCAGAGACUGAAGAUGACGAAUAUGAGAAGGAACAUGAGGGACAUCAUUCUAAAUCCCAUGUGCAUCGAACGCUAAAUCCAGAGGAACGUCUCUUCCUGGUGGCGGAGUCAAGUCUGCG